rnacentral:rRNA from 1 species
GUAAGGAAUAUUCCGCAAUGGGUUAACAGCCUGACGGAGCAAUGCCGCGUGAUCGAUGAAGCCCUUCGGGGUGUAAAGAUCUUUUCUGUGGGAACAAACAAAUGAGUGUACCAUAGGAAUAAGUCACGGCUAAUCACGUGCCAGCAGCCGCGGUAAUACGUGAGUGGCUAGCGUUAUCCGGAAUUAUUGGGCGUAAAGCGUCUGUAGGGGGGAAGUUAAGUGAAUUGUAAAAUAUCCCGACUUAAUCGGGAAAGCGCAGUUCAAACUGGCUUUCUAGAAGAUAGUAGAGGCAAGUGGAAUUCCCGGAGUAGGGGUAAAAUCCGUAGAUACCGGGAGGAACACCAAUAGCGAAGGCAACUUGCUGGGCUAUUCUUGACCCUGAGAGACGAAAGCGUGGGGAGCAAACGGGAUUAGAAACCCCUGUAGUCC